rnacentral:rRNA from 1 species
AUUGAACGCUGGCGGCAGGCCUACCACAUGCAAGUCGAGCGAGCGGCGGACGGGUGAGUAAUGUCUGGGAAACUGCCUGAUGGCGGGGGAUAACUACUGGCAACGGUAGCUAAUACCGCAUACAAUCCUUUCUCCCCACAUGGGAUUAGCUAGUAGGUGGGGUAAUGGCUCACCUAGGCGACGAUCCCUAGCUGGUCUGAGAGGAUGACCAGCCACACUGGAACUGAGACACGGUCCAGACUCCUACGGGAGGCAGCAGUGGGGAAUAUUGCACAAUGGGCGCAAGCCUGAUGCAGCCAUGCCGCGUGUGUGAAGAAGGCCUUCGGGUUGUAAAGCACUUUCAGCGAGGAGGCGUUACUCGCAGAAGAAGCACCGGCUAACUCCGUGCCAGCAGCCGCGGUAAUUC